rnacentral:lncRNA from 1 species
UUGGCAGUAAAGGUAGGAAGAGACUAAAACCCGACGUGGUGGUUGCCAAAGAUGGCACCGGAAGAUUCCAGACUAUCACCGAAGCUCUCACCGCCAUGCCUAAAAAACACAGAGGAAGAAGAUAUGUUAUUUACGUCAAGACUGGGAUCUAUAACGAGUGUCCGGUAAUAAACAGACGGAUGAAAAAUGUGACCAUGUACGGUGAUGGAUCGAGAAAGACGGUGAUCACCGGUAGCAAGAACUUUGCCGACGGAGUCCGAACUUACAACACGGCCACUUUUGGUGAGUACCCA